rnacentral:rRNA from 1 species
GGAAACGGUAGCUAAUACCGCAUAACGUCGCAAGACCAAAGAGGGGGACCUUCGGGCCUCUUGCCAUCGGAUGUGCCCAGAUGGGAUUAGCUAGUAGGUGGGGUAAAGGCUCACCUAGGCGACGAUCCCUAGCUGGUCUGAGAGGAUGACCAGCCACACUGGAACUGAGACACGGUCCAGACUCCUACGGGAGGCAGCAGUGGGGAAUAUUGCACAAUGGGCGCAAGCCUGAUGCAGCCAUGCCGCGUGUAUGAAGAAGGCCUUCGGGUUGUA